UACGGAGGAUGCGAGCGUUAUCCGGAUUUAUUGGGUUUAAAGGGUGCGUAGGCGGAUGAGUAAGUCAGUGGUGAAAGCCUGCAGCUUAACUGUAGAAUUGCCAUUGAUACUGCUUGUCUUGAGGAUAGUUGAGGUGUGCGGAAUAUGACAUGUAGCGGUGAAAUGCUUAGAUAUGUCAUAGAACACCGAUUGCGAAGGCAGCUCACUAAGCUAUAUCUGACGCUGAGGCACGAAAGCGUGGGUUGCAUACAGG
rnacentral:rRNA from 1 species